rnacentral:antisense_RNA from 1 species
CGUUAUGGCGAGCUGUGCGCAGGAGGCUUCGGCCUGCCGGUUUCCUUCUUUGUCCCGGUCUGCAAACCUGUGUACGGCUCGCCACCUUU